rnacentral:ncRNA from 1 species
CAACCCGGAUCGAGAGGUUCGGUUGAACCGGCAGGAGUCAGCAGAGGGCAUAGUACCGGGAAGGCC